UGCUGGGAUUACAGGUGUGAGCCACCGCGCCCGGCCACAACCUUAUCUUAAUUCAUUGACAUCUGCAAAGACUCUAGUUCUCAAAUCAGGUCACCUUUGCAGGUACCAAGGGUUAAGACCUCAAUGUACCUUUUUUUAUGGAGAAAGGGGUCACAGUUCAAACUGAUAACAGGACACCCCACUGAGCCAAACUGCGUGUGUUGUUUUAGGACUUGGUGACCUUCACAGACGUGGCUGUGAACUUUACCAAAGAGGAGUGGACCCUGCUGGACCCAGCUCAGAGGAAUCUCUACAGAGAUGUGAUGCUGGAAAACUCUAGGAACCUGGCAUUCAUAGAUUGGGCGACUCCAUG
rnacentral:sRNA from 1 species